rnacentral:rRNA from 1 species
GAUGAACGCUGGCGGCGUGCCUAAUACAUGCAAGUCGAGCGAACGGACGAGAAGCUUGCUUCUCUGAUGUUAGCGGCGGACGGGUGAGUAACACGUGGAUAACCUACCUAUAAGACUGGGAUAACUUCGGGAAACCGGAUCUAAUACCGGAUGAUAUUUUGAACCGCAUGGUUCAAAAGUGAAAGACGGUCUUGCUGUCACUUAUAGAUGGAUCCGCGCUGCAUUAGCUAGUUGGUAAGGUAACGGCUUACCAAGGCAACGAUGCAUAGCCGACCUGAGAGGGUGAUCGGCCACACUGGAACUGAGACACGGUCCAGACUCCUACGGGAGGCAGCAGUAGGGAAUCUUCCGCAAUAGGCGAAAGCCUGACGGAGCAACGCCGCGUGAGUGAUGAAGGUCUUCGGAUCGUAAAACUCUGUUAUUAGGGAAGAACAUAUGUGUAAGUAACUGUGCACAUCUUGACGGUACCUAAUCAGAAAGCCACGGCUAACUACGUG